rnacentral:lncRNA from 1 species
UGAUUAAAGAAUUUAAAACAGAUUUUCAAAUAUUUAAAGUGAAGUUAUUUCUCCUGUUAUAUACUGAAGAAGUGUUUUCAAUGUAGAACCUGUCAUCUAUGUAUCUCCUACUUUUUCAAUGGAUUUAAUUUUCUGUGAUUUUGAAGUAAAUAUUUAGACUGUCUGUACAACAAACAUGUAUGUAAGUUUUAUAUUAUUGUUAUGCGAAACCACAGAUGCAAUCAUUCAAUAAUUUUUUUUUUAAAUCAUAAACUUGUAAUGGAUAUGUACCAUUUAUUUUUUCCUUUCUAUUUUCUAUUUUAAGUAAAACUUCAAUAGCUUGAGGUUUAAAAACAUAAAAUAUUAUAUUUACAGUAGUAAUGCACACAUUGAAUUUAAAUACAAAAUACAAAACAAAAUUUUAGGUCACGAAAUAUUGUACUAUCGACCUAAGUAAUGAACUUGAAUUUUAAAAGCUUUAAAAUAUAAUUUUAAAAUGACAAAUAAGUUAUUUGCCUGAGCGUUCGUAAGUUUAAUGUGUAGUCUUCAAUCUGACCUCUCCUGUAUCCACACAUAAACUUGUUUAUAUUGAAUCUAACAACUCCCUGUUCUACUUUCAUUUUUGAUAAUUAUUUUUCUACCUAUAUAAAUUUGCCCUCAACUGGGACAGUUGUGUAUCAGAAAGCCAUUACUAUAAUUCAAAAAAUAGAAAAAAGAAGAUGUGGUAUGACUGCCAAUGAGACAAUUCUUCACAAGAAACCAAAUGACUAAGAAAUAAACAGCUUUAGAACACUGUACAGCUUCAACAAUGAGCAAAUGCCCAUAUCACAUAGUCCGCUAUAAAAGACCCUGAAAUAAAAAAGCAGUUGAAAAAUAUAAUCGACUCAUCAGAUUAAAGCUCAAAAACUAAAUAAAAUAAAAUGUUUUUGUUUUGGUAGAUUAAAUUUAUAAAGUUAUUUUCUUUAAGGCCUAAACAACAGCUAAAUAUUACUGCAGGCAGGAUACAAAGAGAUACUCUCAUGCAUAAACCUCGGUGAUAAUGAAAAAGGAACAAAAUUUAUUAGAUAUAACACAUACAUCAAAUUUGAAUUGGAUUUCAAUUAAAUGCGAAUCAUAUUCACUAAUCAAGUUCACACACUUUUCCUUUUUUUUUUAAAAAUUCAAAUCAAAUUUGAACUGGCUAAAUCGCAUUAGAAAUGAAUUUUUGUUAAUACAAAUUAGUAACUUCGCAUUAAUUCUAAUUAAACUGUGUUGUGGACCCUUUCAAUUGUAAUUCAAAUUAAAUUAUAAUUAAAUAAUUGAUAUGCGAACUGAAAGUUAGUGUUGUUCAGACAGUAAAAUCAACUUGUUGUGCAUUGCAGUUAAAAAUUAGGUUCGGACAUAUAAUAUUUCGAAUGUGAAUUAAAACUAAUUCAAAUAAGUUAACACAAAUUGAAUUAGAGUUGCGUGUGAAAAUAGCAUUAUACUGUAAGUUUUUUUUUACCAGUACCGGGUAUAUUUAUUAUAUUGACAACUGUGUUUAUUAUUUUGUAGACCAUUGGAUGUGACAAAGUGAAACAAGACAUAUAUAUAUAUAUCUGAGUCUUCUAUACUGAAGUGUUCAUCAUGAUUCCCAAAC